ACAAAGACUCACCUUUACCAGGAUGCUCAGCUGUGCAGCUCCACGCUCAUCCAAUGGGCCCAAAUUCUGACUGACCAGAGAACAGAAACUGUGACAGAGAUCCAGGAUUUCAUUCAGGCAAUGGAAAACCUGCAGAGAGAUCCUUGUUCUCCCCACCCUAUCCACCCUUCUCCCCUACAACCUGCAGGCAAACUCCCCAGGAAAAGAUACUGUGUGGCAUAAUCGGAGUCUUGCUGUAGAGGAUUUAGACGCCUGCUCAGUGCCUCCCCUCCAUUUCCCUCUUCCUGUUUAUCUGCCUAAAUGGCACACCACAUCCUCUUCUGCACCCCCACCUGCAGAUAGUACUGAAGAUUAUCCACAAGGAAGGCCAUGUGAUCCCUCAGACGCCACUUGAUUGCAUCAGUUCUGUUGGACUUCAGGUGCUUGCGCUGCAUCUGGAGAGCCCAGCAGUGCUGCAGCUCAGCCUGGACCCGCCGCACACUCAGCAAGUAUUUGAAUACAACGUUGUAUCUGCAGCCAAGACAAAUAUCAACCUCUCAAGAAAAAAGAAAGGCUUCCUUGGAGCCCAAGUCCCACACCAGACAACGGUUGGAACAUGGACACGAGACAUAAAGGA